CGCCGCGUUCGCAGGCGCGGCGGGCCAUCGUGUUGCGAUGAUCAGGGUCGAACAUCAUCCGGCGACACCUCGGUUCGAGGCUGAGCGCGCUGGCCA
rnacentral:tRNA from 1 species